UACAGAGGUCUCAAGCGUUGUUCGGAUUCAUUGGGCGUAAAGGGUGCGUAGGCGGCGCGGUAAGUCGGGUGUGAAAUCUCGGGGCUUAACCUGGGAACUGCAGUCGAGACUGUCUAGCUAGAGUAUGGGAGAGGGAAGUGGAAUUUCAGGUGUAGCGGUGAAAUGCGUAGAUAUCUGAAGGAACAUCAGUGGCGAAAGCGACUUCCUGGACCAAUACUGACGCUCAUGUGCGAAAGCGUGGGGAGCAAACAGG
rnacentral:rRNA from 1 species